rnacentral:rRNA from 1 species
CCUACGGGAGGCAGCAGUGAGGAAUAUUGGUCAAUGGACGAGAGUCUGAACCAGCCAAGUAGCGUGAAGGAUGACUGCUCUAUGGGUUGUAAACUUCUUUUAUAUGGGAAUAAAACGUUCCACGUGUGGGAUUUUGUAUGUACCAUAUGAAUAAGGAUCGGCUAACACCGUGCCAGCAGCAGCGGUAAUACGGAGGAUCCGAGCGUUAUCCGGAUUUAUUGGGUUUAAAGGGAGCGUAGAUGGAUUGUGAAGUAAGUUGGGAAAGUUUGCGGCUCAACCGUAAAAUUGAAGUUGAAACUGGCAGUCUUGAGUACAGUAGAGGUGGGCGGAAUUCGUGGUGUAGCGGUGAAAUGCUUAGAUAUCACGAAGAACUCCGAUUGCGAAGGCAGUUCACUGGACUGCAACUGACACUGAGGCUCGAAAGUGUGGGUAUCAAACAGGAUUAGAUACCCCAGUAGUC